AAUCAUGAUGAGAUCAAAGAAAAAUGUUAAAAAAAAAUAUAGAAAGAUAUAUAUUUUACAAUCAAGAAUAACUCAAAUAAUGCGGUUCGUUUGUGUGUGUGUGUGUUUUUUUUUCUUUUUUUUUUCUU
rnacentral:ribozyme from 1 species